GGAUCUGGCGGAGAGGGAACGCAUCUGGAAGAUGUGUCUUCAGGACGAAGAACACAGGGACUGCUUAGGACGAGUGAAGGGACGUUUCAGGAUGAAACAAGGGACACCUCCAGGAUGGAGAUUGAGAGCCAGUUCAGGAUGAUUGGUGGGUUAGGAUAGCCUAAGGAUUAACGCCGGGAUGGUGUAUAACAUUGCGAUGGAUUGCUGGUUAGUAUAACCAUACGGAAAAGUUUUCAGGGAUUGAGCAGGGAGCAUCAAUUUUAGCUGGAUUGCUAUAAAACGAAUUGAGGGGUACUGGUAAAACAGUACCCCUUUUUU
rnacentral:other from 1 species